UAUAAGAUUGAUGAUUAAUAAAGUGUCAUCCAUCCAUGAUUUAAUUAAAGAUGACCUCUGCCCCACCAGUCUUGCAUGCAUUUCUUAAAUGCUGAUUGAAUGAUCCUGCUGGACAAGUUUUGGCAUAGUUGAUUCUAGACAAGCAUUGGGUACAGCAUGAGCCUAAGAGGAAGUGACGAAGAGAUACUGUGGAUGUGUUCUUUGUAGCCAAUCUGAAAUGCAGGAGGUCUCCUACCUCAAAGCUGAAUUAAAUGCAUACUUGUGUGCGUCCUGGGAUUUAUUCUAAUGGGCAAAUCAUCCUGCUGCAUUGCAAAGUCCCUGCAUGAGCUAAUACAGGUUCUUACCACAGUGGUUUUGGAAUCGUCAAAGAUGACAAUGCUCAGUAACUUAAACAUCCAUCUCAGAGGAUGAGUUUUCUAUAUCAGCUCAGGAUUUAAUGGAUACCAUGGAGAUGAAGGAAUUAUUGUCUCAAAUUCUUGAUUUAUUGUGUGGCUAGGACUGGAGAUUAGGCAUUUGGAUAUUAAAUCUAUGUCAUGGACUAAUCAUUACCUACCUCUUGUGGUUUGAGUUUAGGACAUAUCUAUUCUCCACGAGGGACUGGUUGAUAAUACACCCUAUGAAGUUAAUGGAAUGGGAACUCUUCCAGAAGGCCCAAAGGGAAGAUAUGACACAUUCAAGAGACUUCAGGACUUGAUGAAGUGAGAGUGAAGACUGUUAGAACACCAGUGACCGAAGUCAUGGGCUGAAACUGACCAAGUGCACUACAAAAGCUUUUUGAAUUCUUACAUCAUGGCUCUGAAGGAGACAGACAAAUGUCUGCAUCAUGGUGUCUGCAAAGUGCUGGUCAGUGGAUUUUGAAUUAUGACAGUUGGGUUAAUCCAAGCUAUCUUUAUUCAAUGGCCCAACUCAAAAAGGUUAGGAAAUGCCCAAAUUAAGGUUGCCCAUGCAACUUUAAUUUGGUCCUCUUCUGUGUAUGCAUUAUGAUACACUUCUUAAUUACAUGAUCACAUACUGUUUUUCCACAGGACCCUGACCUAGUCAGUGCACUGGGAGGACGGUGUUCAGAGAAUGGCCUGAAACUCAUCAACUAUUAAUAAAAGGGGAUGAAUAUCCAGAGGAGAACCCACAGGACAGGCUAAAGAGGAAGAAAUCUUGUACGAUUUUCCUUAUGGAAGUUUUUCCUGAAUUGUACCCUUUUGUCAAUGUACAGAGCAAGUCACGAGGCCAACCUUCAAAUCCCCUAUAUCAACCAUGAUCUGUAUGCAUCCUGGAGGAAUAAUAGAGGCCUGGGUCAUCCACAUGGAGGCCUCAUGCCUCCACACUGAUUCUGUGUCCUUGGCACCCCUUCCAAUUCCUGGCAGUACGGGUCCAAUGCAACUGUCCUCCCAGAGUUGCCUGGGAUUCCCAAUUCAGGAGGGUGGCAUGGGAGGCUCAUACAGCUUGUAUUAAAUUUCUUUUUUGAGAAUCUGCACAAAGCCAGUGAGGAACCAUGUCCACUUGUGUCUCACUUUGCCCAGUUCACCCACUUUUGCCCCUUCGCCACUCUCAGAUCCCUGGACUCUGUGAAGUCUGGGUCAAAGGAAGAUAAUUGAUCCCCUGCUUUUCACCUGGGCAGGAUGUGACCUCAGGGUAUGCCUCCUCUCCUCACAUAGAAAAUGGAAACCCAAUAAUCAUAUACAUAUUUAAAAGGCAAUAAUCUAAGGUCUCUUUGACCCUGCCCUAUUUGGCUUUCUGUGAUUACCAUCCAUCAUGUGAACGAGGAAAUGUGUAUUUUAAAAAGAUAAAGAGGAUUUAUGCUG